AUUUUUAAACGAAGAAAAAAAAAUAACAUGGCGUAAGACUGCAUCGAUUUUUUUGUGAUCAUCAUUGCCUUGCUAGAUUCUAGAUCACAGGCACAUGAUAGAUUAGAUCGGUAGAUCUAUUCUUUCCCUAGUAGAUUCUAGAUCUAUAAAACAUCUGUGGAAUAUAAUCAAUUAAUAGUUCUAGGACUAGAUUAUCAUCACGGAAUCAGCAUGCUUGUGUUUAAGUUAUUAAAUUUUCUACUCAAACUCAAAGGUUGCAUUUAGGCACAGGAUGGGUUGAUGUGAUUUUCUGCUAAAGAGACAGACAGAUCCACCACUUCCAUAACCAUGACGACAACAGUAAAUGAGGACCUCUUGCAGGUCAAUCAAGUGGUUAAAGACAGAUUCAAAGUCAUUAAAAAAAUUGGUGGCGGUGGAUUUGGUGAAAUUUAUGAGGCCAUGGAUCUGGUGAGUCGUGAGAGUGUGGCUUUGAAACUUGAAUCUGCUCAGCAAGUCAAACAAGUACUUAAAAUGGAAGUUGCAGUUUUAAAAAAGUUGCAAGGGCGGGAUCAUGUGUGUCGUUUUAUUGGUUGUGGUCGUAAUGAGAGAUACAAUUAUGUGGUCAUGUCAUUGCAAGGGAAAAACUUGGCAGAACUUCGAAGAAGUCAAGUCCGAGGUUGUUUUUCUCUGAGCACUACUUUAAGACUUGCUUCUCAAAUACUCCAUGCAAUAGAAGCUAUACAUGAUGUGGGAUUCUUACAUCGAGAUAUCAAGCCGUCAAAUUUUGCUAUGGGUCGACAUCCAAACCAUCGUAAAGUAUAUAUGUUAGAUUUUGGUCUUGCUCGUCAAUAUACUACAGCAUCAGGAGAAGUUAGACAGCCACGUUCAGCUGCUGGGUUCAGAGGCACAGUUCGAUAUGCAUCAAUCAAUGCACAUAAAAAUAAAGAAAUGGGCAGACAUGAUGAUCUCUGGUCUCUCUUUUAUAUGGUUGUAGAAUUUGUUUCUGGACAGUUGCCUUGGCGAAAGAUCAAAGAUAAAGAACAGGUUGGCAUUAUGAAAGACAAGUAUGAUCAUAGCAACUUGUUGAAAAAUUUACCGAGUGAAUUUAGAGCAUUCCUAGACCACAUCCAGAGUCUAGACUAUUUUGACCAACCUGACUACAACAUGUUAUCCAAUCUCCUGGACCAAUGCAUACGUCGCAAGAAUGUGCGUGACUCUGAUCCCUAUGACUGGGAAAAGAGCAAUGUGGACACAUCCAUUACAAUUACUAAUACCUCAGCAUUACAUGCUUUGAAACAAACCAAUGUGUUGAAUAUGGGUCCAAUCACUCCAGGACAUGGUGCUACAGAAGUUUUGGAUGAAAAUCUCAGCUAUCAAGAAGGUGAAGAAGCACUUAAAAAACCUGAAUUGAUUCCAUUAAAUGAAGUGGAUAAUAGAUAUGUAGAAGAAGGUGUUGUUGUACUCUCUCGACCCGAUGCUGAAUCUACUCCUGCUAAAUAUGAACAAGAUGCAAAAGCCAAAGAAAAAUUAAAAGACUCAGAAAAAGGAAAAGGCCAAGAAAAAAGUGAACAUUUGUAUAAAAAAGGAAUUCCUAUGGAUGCUGUUUCUUCUAAAGAAAGUGGCAACAGAAGUGGCACUACCAACUCUCAUUUGAUGAAGCAGCAAAUUUUGGCAGGUGCCAGAGCACCAAGUUCAGGGGCCAGUAUGGAUGCUGGAGUCAGCCACCCGAUCAGCUCAAUUAAACUGGGAGAGAAAGAUGCUGGCUCUCCUGGUGAUCGCUUGCCUCCUCCUGGUCCAUCUGUUGGCUAUGGUCUACCAGCUUCCAGUAAUCUAUCAGGUAAUCUGGCAGGGAGUAGAAGCAAAGUGGUGCGCCUCCAUGAAGGUCCAGAAAGUAGUGCUGUCGACUAUGUGGGAAGUGAGAAAGCUGGCAGUGUGGGUACAGGCUACAUGGGUGCUCUGGAGGCUGGGGAACCAAGUAAUGAGAAUGAAAACAUGAGAUUAGAGAGUCAUCCAGAUCUAGCCAGUCGGGCUGCUAUAACCUUUGCCCUAAUGCAGACAGAUGACAAGACACACACACAGUGUGAUGAGGCAGGGGAAGAGAAUGCAACUCGUGCGGCCCCAUUUACCAUGGCCAGUCAGUGGGGGGCAUUUGGUUCAAGUGAUGAAGGGAGUGACAAUGAAGAUAGUGAAGAGGAUGGUGGUGGGGGGGGAGACAAGGGCAAAAAGUCCUCUAGGGCAAGAAGGUUAGCAAUGAUGAACACACUUGCAGAUGAAGAUGAUCAGCAGUUAGAUAGCAUGGCUAGGAAUUCAUUGGUCUUGAUGGAUGAUCGAGAUGGACAUGAAACAAUGAGAACGUCUCUAGUCUUUGAAGAUGAUACUACUGAUAUUAUGAAACUCAUGCAAUCUAGUGGCAGUCGUGGUGAAGAUGGUCUGGAAGAUGAAGCUCAAGGUCGUCACUCAGAACCAAUCAACACACAUUCCCUACCAUUUGUGCAGUCCCAGGAAAAGUCAUUUAGUUCUAGUCCAAGAAAAAUGCCAGAAAAACUUGCCAAAGAUAUUGACAACCGAAUAGGUUCUCCAUUAAAACAAACUACUACUGGCAGUCCUUCCAAAUUUGUAUUCAAGAAUCGAGAUCAGUUAGAUGAGAAAAGAAAUAGAAAACUUGUGGCCUUAGGCAAGCCACCUAUUCACUCUUCCAGCAAAAGAGACAAAAGCAUGGAUUUAGCAAUCUCAGGGCUCUCAGAAAGUACUAAACCUAUUGCCUCUAAUAAUACUCACUUCUCUCGAGAUUUGUCUCUUUCAAAACCAAAAUCAAUACUUAAAGACAAAAAUAACUUGGUUAGUGAACGAAAUUCUAAUGUGGACAAUCGCUUUAGUUCGGAUUCAGCUAUGUUGCCAACAGAUGGAGCCAGUGAUGUUCGAGUGGUUGUGACAAUGAAAGAUGAACCCAAUGUUUUGACAGCUCGGGAUCACAGUCCUAGGCGUCCACAGUCAUCUCGUCAUUCAUUCAACAAAUCGAGGGAAACUGACAUAGUCAGUAGUCAUCAUAUACGAAGGUUUUCUAGACCUGGCAUGUCAUCCUCACCUAGGGGCUACAUGGAUUCAAGAUCUCUAGUCAUGAAUGAAUCUGAUGGUAGCCCAGUUCCCAAACCUCCUCCUGGACAUGCUCCUAAAAAUGCUGUGGUGACUGCUAGGCGCCGUCGUUACAAAUUGGCAUCGAGCAGUGUGAGUCCGCGCGAUGCCAACAGCCCUUAGCAUAGUUCAGCUGAGAUGUUAACCUGUUGUUUAUUAGCCACACGUCUUUCUGUAACCUACCCUUUGUUUCAUGCACCGCUCUGUGUUCUGCACUCAACUCUUGGAAGAAGUUUAACAACAUUUGGACACUUUUUAGGAAGUCAGCCAAAAGUCCCAAGCACUCCAGCUAAAACUGGUUCUUCCUGUGAAACUUUUACAUACCCUACACUCUUGGGAUCAGGACAUGGAUAUAUUGAUUUACUUAGCACCAAUAGUCAACCUCUAGCAGGUUCACUUUGUACACAUGAUGCAUAGGCUUUGAAUUAUCUUCUACUUCACUCUUGCUAUAAACAAUCAAACAACUGUCUGACAGGGAAUUUAGUUUCAUUUUUAUGCUGUAGCUUUACAUAUCAUGUUGAUAAUAUAAGCAGAUAGUGCUAGCAAGUCUCAGGCUUUGGUAAUCAUUUAGAAAGAUAUAAUAGUGGACAUUCUUUUGAUACAUUGACUAGUUGGCAUAAUCUGAAUGGAGUGGAACCACUUUUCAUUCACAUUCAGAAUGUAAUAUUUUUUAAUUUGUUCCAUUACCCUAGCCAUUGCAGUCAGCCAUAACAUAGUGGUUGAAUGGGGUUUGAUUUUAUUUGAAAGUAUUGGGGUUGAAAGAAUUCUCUAAAAGCCAAAUUGACAUUGUAAAACUUUGAUUAGCUUUGAAUUGAUUGUUAUUGGCUUGCCAAAGAGUUCUAUCUCAAUGUGAAUGUUUGUGUCACAGAUUUCUUUGUAAAUGUACCAACAAAUAAUUCACUUCCCAGAGCUGACAUUGAAAAUUAGAACAGAGCACAGCUGUAACAUCUGCUGUUUGUGAUUUCAACAUCACUUUAAACAAAGUCUAACAUCAUUCUAGAAACUAUGGACUUGUAAAACAUUGAAUACUCAGAAACAAAAAUGUGUACAAAUGAACAUAAAGAUAAGUAGUGAAGGGUAGAAAACUUGUAUUUCUGUUGAUGCUCAAAUAUUUUAAAGAAAAACAACAAAAAAAAAAAACAUGGCUAAAGAUGGACUCGACUCUACUGUCAAUUGCCUCUCUAUUUCUCUCUAUUUACACACUUUUCAAGCAGAGUUUUUACAUUUGCAAUAUUUGUACAGAAUAAAAAACAUUUAUACUUGUACAAUUUCUUUGUUGGUUUGCUCAAAAUCAUUUCUUCAGUUCAUUUGUUUGAUUUUAGUUCUUAUUGAAAAUAUUUUCAAAAACCUUUAAGUUUUGAUUAUCAUUUUUGUUUCUUUAAAACAUAGUGCAUUUCCAGUUUUGAAGAGCAAGAACAGAUAGGGUAAUGAAACUAUUUCAAUAUUAGCAAGCCUAAGAAAAAGGUUAUAGAAUAAUCUAAUUUUGAACCUUCUCAUAACAAAAAAAAAUCUUUGUGUAUUUGUUUUUUGGUAUAUUUAGUUAUUAAAGUGAGUCUGUGAUCCAACAAUCAGUAGUCCUGUAUGAAGCUUGCUUCUAUUUAGUUCAAGAACUUCUAUCCUAUUGUUUUCAAAAUGUUUUCUUUCUGCUAGUCUUUGCUGAUGUCACAGGCUUUGGUCAAUGGGUUUUAUUGUGAUAUAACUUGUUUUUUUAUUGGACACUUUUAUACAAAUACUUUCUUGUAUAUUUUCUAUGUUCAACCCUCUUUCAGAUAUGAAUUCUUAUCAAACAAGAACAUUUUAACAACAAUGACAUCUCCAGACAUUUGUACAUGGCAGACAAUAGACAAUAAUACAGGCAAUGCUAGCAGACUAGUGUACAUGGCAGACAAUAGAUUAAUACAAGCAAUGCUAGCAGACUAGUGUACAUGGCAGACAAUAGGCUAAGAAAGUCAUUGCUAGCAGACUAGUGUACAUGACAGACAAUAUGCCAAGACAGUCAUUGCUAGCAGACUAGUGUACAUGACAGACAAUAGGCUAAGAAAGUCAUUGCUAGCAGACUAGUGUACAUGACAGACAAUAGGCUAAGAAAGUCAUUGCUAGCAGACUAGUGUACAUGACAGACAAUAGGCCAAGACAGUCAUUGCUAGCAGACUAGUGUAAAUGACAGACAAUAGGCUAAGAAAGUCAUUGCUAGCAGACUAGUGUACAUGACAGACAAUAGGCCAAGACAGUCAUUGCUAGCAGACUAGUGUACAUUGCAGACAGUAUGCCAAGACAGUCAUUGCUAGCAGACUAGUAUACAGGUACAAAUCUAGUGGCAGUAAUUUGUUUUUCAUAAAACAUUCAAAUGAGUUGCACUGAUUUUCUAGCAUUAAUUACCGUACAGGUACAUUUACCCCACAGUUAACAUUUACCAUAAAGGUACAUUUACUCUACAGUUACAUUUACCAUAAAGGUACAUUUACUCUACAGUUACAUUUACCAUAAAGGUACAUUUACUCUACAGUUAACAUUUACCAUAAAGGUACAUUUACUCUACAGUUACAUUUACCAUAAAGGUACAUUUACUCUACAGUUACAUUUACCAUAAAGGUACAUUUACUCUACAGUUAACAUUUACCAUAAAGGUACAUUUACUCUACACUUACAUUUACCAUAAAGGUACAUUUACUCUACAGUUAACAUUUACCAUAAAGGUACAUUUACUCUACACUUACAUUUACCAUAAAGGUACAUUUACUCUACAGUUACAUUUACCAUAAAGGUACAUUUACUCUACAAUUACAUUUACCAUAAAGGUACAUUUACUCUACAGUUACAUUUACUCUACAGUUACAUUUACCAUAAAGGUACAUUUACUCUACAGUUAACAUUUACCAUAAAGGUACAUUACUCUACAGUUAACAUUUACCAUAAAGGUACAUUUACUCUACAGUUACAUUUACCAUAAUGGUACAUUUACUCUACAGUUAUUACACAAAACUGUCAGCAACAAAAAAAAAAAAAACUGGACUGCUAUGUCUGCUGGUCUUAUAAGUGAUGUAUUUACAUUUGCAAAGUAUUUCCUGACUGCUAUUUUCUAGUCAUUGAAUGCAAUCAUUGGAAUUAAUUAUUUUUUUAAAUGUAUGUGUGCAUGUAUUCUUCUCUCACUGAGCAAUUUAAUUACAAGCAAGUGUAAUCUUUUGAUUUAGUCAAUGAACUAGUGUACAUUUGUCCAGAUGCUACUAUGAAUCAAAUGUAACAAAAAAAUUUUUUUUUUCCAUUUGUUAGUUUCAAUUCUGAUUUGGUCAGGUGGACAAUAUUUACAUUCAGAUUGUAUCCAACUGUAUUGUAGCUCUCUCCUCUAAACUCCAAUAAUGUGUACAAAAACAGAUACUUAGUAUCUGAAUGGAACACUUUAUAGAGUCUUAUCAUUCCAACACAACUAGUUGAAGUGGUGUGUACCCAAUGAACUAGAGGACAAAAAAGUAUGUGAUAUUCGUUUUGUACCAAACUGCUGUGCUAGAACAAAAGUAUGUGAUAUUCUGUCCAGACUUUUGAAGACUUGAUGUUACAAUGUGUAUGUAAAUGACCAUAUUGCUUCCACACAAUAACUUAUAGAAUGUCUGUUCAUUCAAGCAAUGGUAAUAAGAAACAAUGGUCAAUGUCUUGAGAAACUUCUAAAUGUUCCCCUCAGGUCCUAUGUGUAUUUCUUUUGUACUUCUCUUUCAGCUGACUGUGAUGGAUCCAUUGUAAGGCUGGUUGCAAGGCUUUGCUUUAGUGUCUGGACUAGCUCAAUGUGAAGAGAGGUUCAUGAAUGUCUAGCUUCCUGCCCUUGUCUUGCUGAUGUUGUGAUUUCAAUCUGAUGACCUGAAUAUUAGGUCAACAUUAGCCAUACUCAUUUAUUUUGUAUUGACUAGACAGUCUGUAGUGGAUCUCAAUUUGAAAUAAAAUAUUGAAAACAAA